CUUUUAGUAUUUGUUACUCAAAUUCCCCAAAUUUCCCAAAAGUAAAACUCUCCCUUAUUCGUCGAACUCACUCUUAGGGUUGUGACUUUGGUGGCAGUCAGCUGGUUCGACGCUACGGCUUGACGACACGAGUUUGGUGGUGUGGACCAUGACGGAGGUUCGUCGCUGGGUGGCGUUCUUCCAUUCCCUACUCUCUGUUUGAAGCGGUUCGUUGGUUUGAAGCUCGAUGUUGUCGCCCUAAGGCAGUUUGAAACGGUUGUUGUUGUGGAUGCUGACGGCAGUUCGUUGGUGGCUGUUAGCGGGUUAUGCUACUGAUUCUCUGUUCCAUCCUAAAGAAAACAGCCUUAUUCUUGAAAUUCCUGCAACUAUUGCGGCUGUUAAAAACCCUUCUUCUAAGAUUAUAUAUGAUGAACACAACCAUGAGCGAUUUCCUCUUGGUGAUCCAAGCAAAAGGGCAUUUCCCAUUACGAUAUUUCUGGCAAAAUUAAGAAGGGACCGACACCAUACAAUCUAGAGGUGAUUUCUCCUAAAAGUGUAAGCAGUGUUGUUCUUAAUGCACCAAAGGCAAGCAAGCUAUUGAGUGCUAUUGCAAUUGCUUUGUCAAAUUGUUCAAGAUAUGUUGCAAUUUGGCUGGAAGGAAGGGAUGAAACACUUGUUUAGGAAAAAGAUGCUAAAGGAUUUAACAAGUCUUCAACUAUUUUCCAAAAUGCCACAGGUUUUUCAGAGCUCGAAUCAGCUGGGUCUUUUUGAAGAGAAUCAUAUAUUACUGUACUUUCCCUAUAACAUUGGAAAUGAUGCAAUGGAAUUAGCUUUGUCUUUGGAGAAGUUGGUGAAUGAGAAACCUCGAAAUGUGCACGGUGUGAUGCCUUUUGAGCUUUUUUCUUAUUUAGAAGUAGAAUUUAAAUGUUUUUUUUUGUACUGAAGUGUAAGAAGUUGUAGUGGUGUGACAACAAGUAUCUUAUGUAAAACAUUGCAAAUAUAUUAUGCAAUAUCAUUUAAUAUCUUGUUUUCAA